rnacentral:rRNA from 1 species
CCUACGGGAGGCAGCAGUGAGGAAUAUUGGUCAAUGGACGAGAGUCUGAACCAGCCAAGUAGCGUGAAGGAUGACUGCCCUAUGGGUUGUAAACUUCUUUUAUAUGGGAAUAAAACGUUCCACGUGUGGGAUUUUGUAUGUACCAUAUGAAUAAGGAUCGGCUAACUCCGUGCCAGCAGCCGCGGUAAUACGGAGGAUCCGAGCGUUAUCCGGAUUUAUUGGGUUUAAAGGGAGCGUAGGUGGAUUGUUAAGUCAGUUGUGAAAGUUUGCGGCUCAACCGUAAAAUUGCAGUUGAAACUGGCAGUCUUGAGUACAGUAGAGGUUGGCGGAAUUCGUGGUGUAGCGGUGAAAUGCUUAGAUAUCACGAAGAACUCCGAUUGCGAAGGCAGUUCACUGGACUGCAACUGACACUGAGGCUCGAAAGUGUGGGUAUCAAACAGGAUUAGAUACCCCUGUAGUC